rnacentral:lncRNA from 1 species
CUGAGCUCUUGUGCCUGCACUGCAGUAACCUGGGAGCUCUGAGUGGGGGUGAUGGUAGAUCUUUGGAUCCAUCAGGAAAGGGCCAGCAGGUGGCCCAAAGCCAUGCUGCUCCCUGGGCUACCACUGCCCAUCCUGAGCAUGUGAAAGCUGGGCUGCAAGGCAUCAAAAUCAUGACAUGCCCGAAAGGAAAUAGUGACGUGUGGGAGAGUCCUUUUAUUUACACUUUUGCUUUUAAAAUUUUUGGAGCUCAAUUUUGAAGCUUUCUUUCCCCCUCUUGCUGUAGCAAAGGAGAGCUAGAAGCUCCCUCCUAAUUAUUUUUGCAUUAGAGAUGCUCAGAAAAUCCUGGAAUCCCAACAAACUUUGACUUGAAAAUACCAAGUUGUCAGCAGUGCUGUGGUAUGGUAAGAUUUCAGCGUUGUCCUUUGCUCACAUUUGCCUGUAGAUGUACCUGAGUGUAUUUGUACGAGUUAGGGGAUUUGCUUAACCAGACGUUGAGGUGAAAAAAAGGAGGCACAAAUCUAUCUGCAAAAAUUGCUAGGAAAACAGGUUCCUGGUGGGUUUCCUUAUUUCCCCCAAGAGCUUUUCAGCCUCAUCUCUGUGUGGAAACGAAUGCGUGCGGGCCACUAACCUGAAAGCAGUGCUGAGUGAAGCAAUGAUGUGUCUUAAACAGUAAUAUUUCAUGGCAAAUCAUCUGCUCUGAAACGGAGACGAGAAGGUGGCAUUUUUCACCUAACUGCAUCUCUUCUCUAUUUUUCUUACCUUUCUUUUUUGGAAACCUGGUUCAAAUCCAACCUAGGACUUGGUGGUUGUGCUGAGCUGGUUUGGGAAGGGGAUUUUAGCCUCGGUAGAACAAGCUGUUUUGUCAUCUGCUUAGUUACAAUACCUCAGGAAAAAUACCCUAAGGUUCUGCACAGCACCUUUCAAACAGAUUCCUGCAGGAGAAAUCCCUCCUGGGUCAGACCAACGCUUCUGGUUCAUGCACUGACCCAAACAGGCAGGUAGACUUUUGCUUUC